AAAACAACAGUUUGAAAAUGUUUGAUCAAAUACAGGCGACAUGUAGAGGCAUGACAUGAUACAGGUGUUUCUCCCAUUGCCUGUACCCAAAAACCCAUAGACUUCUGUAAACAGCUAUUAAUCACUCAUUCUAUUCGUCAGAAUUCCCUUCCUUGCUCGGAUUCCUUUUUUAACAUGUUCUUGCUUAUCCUCAUUUAUUUUUUAAAAGAUGUUUUUUCUUUUAGUUAUUCCAGUUAUAAACCAACCAAUCAGAUGCCUCAAUUAAAGUAUGUAGUUUAAUGGCAGAUGUUUGAAACAUUUGACAGAUUUGGUGCAGCCCGCUUUCAGGUAGAAGGGUGUGGACUUCCAACGAGCUCACCCCUGACUGACGAGAGUGGUUGCCAUAGAGAUAUGGACUUGGACCAAUCACUGUCUAUUGACGUCGUCUGGUUCCAACAUGGUGGUGUCCAUAUCGUAUUAAAAGGCAACUGAAUGGACUUUGAUUGGAGCUGGAGUUUUUCAUUGUAGACACUCACCAAGGAGAUAUCCCGAUGUCCAGAGCCCAGCACCUUCAGAACAACCUUGACUUCCUGGAAGGAUGUGUAACCCACAUCCUCGUCCUCCUCA